UACAGAGGGGGCAAGCGUUGUUCGGAAUUACUGGGCGUAAAGGGCGCGUAGGUGGCCCGCUAAGUCGAACGUGAAAUCCCCGAGCUCAACUCGGGAACUGCGUCCGAUACUGGCGGGCUUGAAUCCGGGAGAGGGAUGCGGAAUUCCAGGUGUAGCGGUGAAAUGCGUAGAUAUCUGGAGGAACACCGGUGGCGAAGGCGGCAUCCUGGACCGGCAUUGACGCUGAGGAGCGAAAGCCAGGGGAGCAAACGGG
rnacentral:rRNA from 1 species